rnacentral:rRNA from 1 species
GAUGAACGCUGGCGGCGUGCCUAAUACAUGCAAGUCGAACGAGAGGUUCGGGUCUUGUGGCGCCCGGGUGCGUAACGCGAGGGGAUCUGACCUUCGGUUGGGACUACCUGAAAGAAUUUUAAGCUAACACCUUAUAAUGUCUACGGCCCAAAGAUUUAUCGCCGGGGGAUGAGCCCGCGUAGGAUUCGGUAGUUGGUGGUGUAAUGGCAUACUACGCCGUGGAUCCUUAGCUGGUCUGAGAGGAUGAUCAGCCACACUGGGACUGAGACCCGGCCUAGACUCCUACGUGAGGCAGCAGUGGGGAAUAUUGCACAAUGGGCUGACUCCUGAUGCAGCAAGGCCGCUAGAGCUAUGAAUGCCGUAGGGUGCAAAUGCUCUUUUACCCGGGCCCAUAUUGACGGUACCGAGAGAAAAAGCGACGGCUAACUCCGUG